ensembl:lincRNA Gm43607 predicted gene 43607
UGUGGAGGUGCCAUGGGUUAGGAGGUUAGCCCCAGUCAGGCAUGGAGGAGACCCCGAGAGCCAGGCUGGCCUCCCAGGCAACCCCUCAGAGUUCCAGGUUCCAAAUCCCCAUGAGGCAAAGGCUUGGGAAGAUCUCAGCAUGACUAGAGCAGUGCAGUGCUUUCUGGAAACAGAUGAGUCCUGUACAACAUGUCACUCGAUAGUCCACAUCCUGGGGAUGGGGAGAGACAGAGCGUGAGGUCUCCAUGGCUGAGAAGAGAAGCAGGAGGAAGCUUUUCAGGUCCUGCAGAAGCUAGAGGCCUUUCAUGCACUGCCUGGCUGUUCUGAAGUCUGACG